GAUGAAGAACGCAGCGAAAUGCGAUAAGUAAUGUGAAUUGCAGAAUUCAGUGAAUCAUCGAAUCUUUGAACGCACAUUGCGCCCCUUGGUAUUCCGAGGGGCAUGCCUGUUCGAGCGUCAUUAUAACCCCUCAAGCUCAGCUUGGUGUUGGGGCCUGCUGCACUGGCAGCCCUUAAAAUCAGUGGCGGCGCCAUCUGGCUCUAAGCGUAGUAAUUCUUCUCGCUAUGGAGUCCUGGUGGAUGCUUGCCAUCAACCCCCAAUUUUUCUAUGGUUGACCUCGGAUCAGGUAGGGAUACCCGCUGAACUUAAGCAUUUCAAUAAGCGGAGGA
rnacentral:misc_RNA from 1 species